UGACCACUUCCCUGGGGAGCCUGUUCCAGUGCCCAACCACCCUCUGGGGUGUUUUGUUCUGUCCACAAAAGAAAGGAUAAAUCUGCUUUAUUCAGUUUGAGUAUUGAAAAGUAGCAGUGCCUGCUGUGAACUCUGCCUGCUUCUCUCUGACAUGAUUGAGAGAAUUUUGGAUGAUCGAUCUGCUGGAGAAUGACAGUGGAGAGAAGGCAAAUUUUAUCCUGGGAUGUCACUACAUAAAUCAAUUGAUCUCAGAUUCUAAGAGCAAAGCAAUAGAGAGGAGUUUGGAAGGAAAAGAAAGGACUUUUGGAAUGAGAAAAACGUUGUCUGCAGAGAAAACAGUAAGGCUGAAAGCUUAAAGCUCCAGUGUCUGUGCUGCGAUUGUUCUGUGCUGUCUGUGAUGGAAGAGAUAACACACCUUUUCCCUGACUCGGUAAGUUUCCUGACAUGGCAGACAUCCACACUCCCACAAACAACUCCAGCUCCAUCACUGUCAUCAUCUUUCCAGCAAAGGGCUAAGGGUUCUUUCCCCUUGCCCCCCUCCUCAGUCUAUCAGAGAUAGUCAGGCCUCAUCUGCACAAAAAAGUUUUACCUGAUUUAAAGGAGUAGCUGUACAAAUGCCUCUCUCCCCUCAUGGGUGCCUGUCCCGUGCUCACCCUCUCUGAUGCUUGUGUGAGAGAUGCUUUUUGGUUUUCACUUCUACCCAUUUCCACAUGAUAGAACCUAACUUGAAGAAACACAUUUUCAUGUACCUGAACGUCAACACAGAAUGGGAGAGUUAAUCCUUUACCUUCUGUUUCAUAUUCAGCCCUUUUGAGUACAUAGAAGAAAAACCCAUGCUCAUGGUGACCUACAUAAUCCAGCACAAUGGCUAAUCACACUUACAUGAGGUGACUGCCCAUGGUAUCAGGGAGGGAAUGCAGGCACAGGAGACCCCUGCUAGUGCUCUGUUCCUGAGAGUGGUACGAGUCGCUUUUACUCUCUAGAAAUAGAG